AAAGAUUUAGUUAAAAUAUAACAUCAGCUUGUCAUGCUUAAAUAAUUCUAAAGAAUAAUCUUUG
rnacentral:tRNA from 1 species